GACGAACGCUGGCGGCGUGCUUAACACAUGCAAGUCGAACGGAAAGGCCCUGCUUUUGUGGGGUGCUCGAGUGGCGAACGGGUGAGUAACACGUGAGUAACCUGCCCUUGACUUUGGGAUAACUUCAGGAAACUGGGGCUAAUACCGGAUAGGAGCUCCUGCUGCAUGGUGGGGGUUGGAAAGUUUCGGCGGUUGGGGAUGGACUCGCGGCUUAUCAGCUUGUUGGUGGGGUAGUGGCUUACCAAGGCUUUGACGGGUAGCCGGCCUGAGAGGGUGACCGGCCACAUUGGGACUGAGAUACGGCCCAGACUCCUACGGGAGGCAGCAGUGGGGAAUAUUGCACAAUGGGCGGAAGCCUGAUGCAGCAACGCCGCGUGCGGGAUGACGGCCUUCGGGUUGUAAACCGCUUUCGCCUGUGACGAAGCGUGAGUGACGGUAAUGGGUAAAGAAGCACCGGCUAACUACGUGCCAGCAGCCGCGGUGAUACGUAGGGUGCGAGCGUUGUCCGGAUUUAUUGGGCGUAAAGGGCUCGUAGGUGGUUGAUCGCGUCGGAAGUGUAAUCUUGGGGCUUAACCCUGAGCGUGCUUUCGAUACGGGUUGACUUGAGGAAAGGUAGGGGAGAAUGGAAUUCCUGGUGGAGCGGUGGAAUGCGCAUAUAUCAGGAGGAACACCAGUGGCGAAGGCGGUUCUCUGGGCCUUUCUUGACGCUGAGGAGCGAAAGCGUGGGGAGCGAACAGGCUUAGAUACCCUGGUAGUCCACGCUGUAAACGGUGGGUACUAGGUGUGGGGUCCAUUCCACGGGUUCCGUGCCGUAGCUAAUGCUUUAAGUACCCCGCCUGGGGGAGUACGGCCGCAAGGCUAAAAACUCAAAGGAAUUGACGGGGCCCCGCACAAGCGGCGGAGCAUGCGGAUUAAUUCGAUGCAACGCGUAGAACCUUACCUGGGUUUGACAUGGAUCGGGAGUGCUCAGAGAUGGGUGUGCCUCUUUUGGGGUCGGUUCACAGGUGGUGCAUGGCUGUCGUCAGCUCGUGUCGUGAGAUGUUGGGUUAAGUCCCGCAACGAGCGCAACCCUUGUUCACUGUUGCCAGCGCGUUAUGGUGGGGACUCAGUGGAGACCGCCGGGGUCAACUCGGAGGAAGGUGGGGAUGACGUCAAGUCAUCAUGCCCCUUAUGUCCAGGGCUUCACGCAUGCUACAAUGGCUGGUACAGAGAGUGGCGAGCCUGUGAGGGUGAGCGAAUCUCGGAAAGCCGGUCUCAGUUCGGAUUGGGGUCCGCAACUCGACCUCAUGAAGUCGGAGUCGCUAGUAAUCGCAAAUCAGCAACGCUGCGGUGAAUACGUUCCCGGG
rnacentral:rRNA from 1 species